UAAUACGUAGGGUGCAAGCGUUGUCCGGAAUUACUGGGCGUAAAGAGCUCGUAGGCGGUUUGUCACGUCGUCUGUGAAAUCCUCCAGCUCAACUGGGGGCGUGCAGGCGAUACGGGCAGACUUGAGUACUACAGGGGAGACUGGAAUUCCUGGUGUAGCGGUGAAAUGCGCAGAUAUCAGGAGGAACACCGGUGGCGAAGGCGGGUCUCUGGGUAGUAACUGACGCUGAGGAGCGAAAGCAUGGGGAGCAAACAGG
rnacentral:rRNA from 1 species